UACAGAGGUGCUCAAGCGUUUGUUUCGGGAUUCAUUGGGCGUAAAGGGUGCGUAGGGCGGCGGGGUAAGUCGGGUGUGAAAUCUCAAGAGCUCAACUCUAGAAAAUGGCACUUGAUACUGCUCUGCUAGAGGACUGGAGAGGAGAAUUGGAAUUCACGGUGUAGCAGUGAAAUGCGUAGAUAUCGUGAGGAAGACCAGUGGCGAAGGCGGAUCUCUGGACAGUUCCUGACGCUGAGGCGCGAAGGCCCAGGGGGAGCAAACGGG
rnacentral:rRNA from 1 species